AUUGAACGCUGGCGGCAUGCUUUACACAUGCAAGUCGAACGGCAGCGCGGACUUCGGCCUUGCGGCGAGUGGCGAACGGGUGAGUAAUACAUCGGAACGUGCCCGGUAGUGGGGGAUAGCGCGGCGAAACGCGGAUUAAUACCGCAUACGACCUGAGGGUGAAAGCGGGGGAUCUUCGGACCUCGCGCUAUCGGAGCAGCCGAUGGCAGAUUAGCUAGUUGGUGGGGUAAAGGCCUACCAAGGCGACGAUCUGUAGCUGGUCUGAGAGGACGACCAGCCACACUGGGACUGAGACACGGCCCAGACUCCUACGGGAGGCAGCAGUGGGGAAUUUUGGACAAUGGGCGAAAGCCUGAUCCAGCAAUGCCGCGUGUGUGAUGAAGGCCUUCGGGUUGUAAAGCACUUUUGGCGGGAACGAAAAGGACUGUGCCAAUACCACGGUUCGAUGACGGUACCCGCAGAAUAAGCACCGGCUAACUACGUG
rnacentral:rRNA from 1 species